GAUGGUCAUUAGGGUCUUGAAGAUGGGUCUUGAGGAGAUGGAGAUGGGUCUUGAGGCCAUCAUGGUUGGGUUGAUGGUCAUUGGGUCCAUGGGGAUGGUCUUUGGGUCCAUCAUCGUUGGGUUGAUGGUCUUUGGGUCCAUGGGGAUGGUCUUUGGGUCCAUCAUCGUUGGGUUGAUGGUCUUUGGGUCCAUGGGGAUGGUCUUUGGGUCCAUCAUCGUUGGGUUGAUGGUCUUUGGGUCCAUGGGGAUGGUCUUUGGACUCAUCAUUGUUGGGUUGAUGGUCUUUGGGUCCAUCACCGUUGGGUUAUUGGUCUUUGUGUCCAUGGAGUUGGUCUUCAUUGUUGGGUUGAUGGUCUUUGAGGAGAUGGAGAUGGUCUUUGGAGUCAUCAUCAUUGGGUUGAUGGUCAUUGGGUCCAUGGGGAUGGUCAUUAGGUCCAUGGAGAUGGUCUUUGGGUCCAUCAUCGUUGGGUUGAUGGUCAUUGAGAAGAUGGAGAUGGUCUUUAGGGCCACCAUCGUUGGGUUGAUGGUCAUUGGAGCCAUCGUGGUUGGGUUGAUGGUCAUUGGGUCCAUGGAGAUGGGUCUUGAGGAGAUGGAGAUGGUCUUUAGGGCCAUCAUGGUUGGGUUGAUGGUCAUUGGGUCCAUGGGGAUGGUCUUUGGGGCCAUGGAGAUGGGUCUUGGGUCCAUGAAGAUGGUCUUUGGGGCCAUCACCGUUGGGUUGAUGGUCCUUGAGGAGAUGGAGAUGGGUCUUGAGGCCAUCAUGGUUGGGUUGAUGGUCAUUGGGUCCAUGGGGAUGGUCAAUGGGGCCAUGGAGAUGGGUCUUGGGGCCAUGGAGAUGGUCUUUGGGGUCAUCACCGUUGGGUUGAUGGUCAUUGAGAAGAUGGAGAUGGUCUUUGAGAAGAUGGAGAUGGUCUUUGGGUCCACCAUGGUUGGGUUGAUGUUCUUUGGGUCCAUGGGGAUGGUCAUUGUGUCCAUGGAGCUGGUUGUCCUUGACGGUGCCACUGACGCGUGGGCUGAGCCCGGGGCCGGGCGGUGGCCGUGA
rnacentral:lncRNA from 1 species